CCAAACUCAAGGGGCUGCGGCCCAGCUCUUCCAGACCGCGCGGCGGGGCCAGCUGCAUGCAGCUGUGGUAGUGAUCGCCCUCCUGGCCCUGGAUGCGGUGGCGCCGCGACAGCUGCAGGUCGUGGGAGGAGCCAUCGCCCCGGAGGCGGGGACUGCGUCUCAGCACCUGGAUUACCAGGGGCUCCUUGGAGGCACGCAGGGCCUCCAGGGUCUGCUCCUGAGACAGCUUGGAGAGCUCCUUCCCGUUCACCUGCGGCAGAGACGACAUGUCCCCGUGAGGACCCGCUGAGGCCCUGCUUACCCCUGGGCGCCCUCAUUCCCAGGCUGCAAAGAACAGGCCAGCCCUGGAUGUCGUUCCAGGAAGACAGGCUGUCAAAGGAAAGCACAAGGAGUCCUAGGGACGCCUGGCCAGCCAGUGGCUCCUCUGAUUCAUGGAACCCAAAUAAUCACCUUGCUGCUACUUGGUUGUGUCCUUGUAGACAGUAGUUUCAGUUUUUAUGUUCCCCUCUCUGUAAUCUUCGCAUGGUCAGAAAAGAUUUUUUUAAUCAGGUCUGUCUAAUUAUAAAAAAAAGCAGUUUCGUUGUAGAACAUUUGAAAAAUACAGAAAACCAUAAGGAAGAAAACAAAAAUCACCCAUCUCAAGGGUGUAAAAGCUGUGAAUGUGUUGGCAUAUUUCAUUCCUGCUCUUUUUCCAAUUUGUAACUGCAGGCGCCCUGAGGCCUGGAGCACGCCAGCCUGCGCGUGGACCGUCCGUUGUGUAUUGGCUUGGUCCCUACUGUCCAUCACUAGUGGUUUUCAAUUUUAUUAUAAAGAAGGUUGCAGAGACACAUUGUUUGUAUGUUCUGUACCUAUUUUCUAUGUAUAUCUUUGUGUAAUCUAUAGUUGUUAUGUUAGAGAAAUUUUCCAAAAGUGGAAUUAUUGGAUCAAAGGGUAUCAAGGAAACAGCUUGUCAACCAAGACGGUAUUAGUUGUAAGAAUGUGGUCAGCACAGCCCAAGAGGAUCUGGACAGCUGGAGAGGCCGCAGUUAUAAAGCGAAGAGGGAACGGAGCCCGCGGGGCCAAGUGCAUGGGAGAAAAGGGCUGGCUGCUGACGUGUAUUUGGAGACGCGUGUGAAGGGUGGACUGGCAAAGGCUGGGCACCAAGGGAAUGUGAGGACUGGCCUUGAAGCCCUUAGCAGAGCCAAAACUGUCAGGAAAUGCUUGAGGCAGCAUUAAACACAGCCAGUAUCGACCUUUCAAUGGAACAAACUUACAACUAAAUGAAUUUUAUUAAAAACAAAGGCAAAAGCAAA